rnacentral:rRNA from 1 species
UACGUAGGGGGCAAGCGUUGUCCGGAUUUAUUGGGCGUAAAGAGCGUGUAGGCGGCCAUACAGGUCAGCUGUGAAAACUCGAGGCUCAACCUCGAGACGUCGGUUGAAACCGUAUGGCUAGAGUCCGGAAGAGGAGAGUGGAAUUCCCGGUGUAGCGGUGAAAUGCGCAGAUAUUGGGAGGAACACCAGUGGCGAAGGCGGCUCACUGGACCGGAACUGACGCUGAGGCGCGAAAGCGUGGGAGCAACGGG